CCUACGGGCGGCUGCAGUGAGGAAUAUUGGUCAAUGGGCGGGAGCCUGAACCAGCCAAGUCGCGUGAGGGAAGACGGUCCUAUGGAUUGUAAACCUCUUUAGGCGGGGAGCAAUGCCGGGCACGUGUGCCCGGAGGGAGAGUUCCCGCCGGAUAAGCAUCGGCUAACUCCGUGCCGGCCGCCGUGGUGAUAAGGAGGAUGCGAGCGUUAUCCGGAUUUAUUGGGUUUAAAGGGUGCGUAGGCGGAGUUUUAAGUCAGCGGUAAAAUGUCCGGGCUCAACCCGGGCCGGCCGUUGAAACUGGGGAUCUUGAGUGGGCGAGAAGUAUGCGGAAUGCGUGGUGUAGCGGUGAAAUGCAUAGAGAUCACGCAGAACUCCGAUUGCGAAGGCAGCAUACCGGCGCCCGACUGACGCUGAGGCACGAAAGCGUGGGGAUCGAACAGGAUUAGAUACCCUUGUAGUC
rnacentral:rRNA from 1 species